rnacentral:rRNA from 1 species
GAUGAACGCUGGCGGCGUGCCUAAUACAUGCAAGUCGAGCGAACAGACGAGGAGCUUGCUCCUUCGACGUUAGCGGCGGACGGGUGAGUAACACGUAGGUAACCUACCUAUAAGACUGGGAUAACUUCGGGAAACCGGAGCUAAUACCGGAUAAUAUUUCGAACCGCAUGGUUCGAUAUUGAAAGAUGGCUUUGCUAUCACUUAUAGAUGGACCUGCGCCGUAUUAGCUAGUUGUUAAGGUAACGGCUUACCAAGGCAACGAUACGUAGCCGACCUGAGAGGGUGAUCGGCCACACUGGACCUGAGACACGGCCCAGACUCCAAGGGGAGGCAGCAGUAGGGAACCUUCGGCAAUGGGCGAAAGCCUGACGGAGCAACGCGGCGUGAGUGAUGAAGGUCUUCGGAUCGUAAAACCCUGUUAUUAGGGAAGAACAAACGUGUAAGUAACUGGGAAGGUCUGGAGGGUACCAAAUAAGAAAGCAACGGCUAACUACGU